rnacentral:tRNA from 1 species
GGCUCAGUAGCUCAGGGGUAGAGCAGGGGACUCAUAAGCCUCGUGCCGCGUGUUCAAAUCACGCCUGAGCCA